UUCGCAAUGCCCGAAAGGGUGACGAAGCGGCGCCGCGUGUGGGAAGAAGGCCUUCGGGUUGUAAACCACUGUCGGGAGUUAAGAAAUGCAAGGAUAUGAAUAGUGUCUUUGCUUGACUAAGGCUCCGGAGGAAGCCACGGCUAACUCUGUGCCAGCAGCCGCGGUAAUACAGAGGCGGCAAGCGUUGUUCGGAAUUAUUGGGCGUAAAGAGCACGUAGGCGGCUAUGUAAGUCGGUUGUGAAAGCCUUCCGCUCAACGGGAGAACAGCAUCCGAUACUACAUGGCUUGAGUGCGGGAGGGGAGAGUGGAACUUCUGGUGGAGCGGUGAAAUGCGUAGAUAUCAGAAGGAACGCCGGCGGCGAAAGCGGCUCUCUGGCCCAUAACUGACGCUGAGUGUGCGAAAGCUAGGGGAGCAAACGGGAUUAGAUGCCCCGGUAGUCCUAGCCGUAAACGAUGGGCACUAAGUAGAGGGGUUUU
rnacentral:rRNA from 1 species